GACGUAGGGGGCCAGCGUUGUUCGGAAUUACUGGGCGUAAAGGGUGCGUAGGCGGUGUGGUAAGUCGGGUGUGAAAUCUCUGGGCUCAACCCAGAGUCUGCUUCCGAAACUGCUGUGCUUGAGUGUGGGAGAGGCGCGUGGAAUUGCAGGUGUAGCGGUGAAAUGCGUAGAUAUCUGCAGGAACACCCGUGGCGAAAGCGGCGCGCUGGACCACUACUGACGCUGAGGAACGAAAGCUAGGGGAGCAAACAGG
rnacentral:rRNA from 1 species